UACGUAGGGUGCAAGCGUUUAAUCGGAAUUACUGGGCGUAAAGCGUGCGCAGGCGGUUCGCUAAGACAGAUGUGAAAUCCCCGGGCUUAACCUGGGAACUGCAUUUGUGACUGGCGGGCUAGAGUAUGGCAGAGGGGGGGUAGAAUUCCACGUGUAGCAGUGAAAUGCGUAGAGAUGAGUGGAGAACCGAUGGCGAAGGCAGCC
rnacentral:rRNA from 1 species